rnacentral:rRNA from 1 species
UACGAACUGUGCAAACGUUAUUCGGAUUCACUGGGCUUAAAGGGUGCGUAGGCGGCGCAGAAAGUUGGGUGUGAAAUCCCUCGGCUCAACCGAGGAACUGCGCCCAAAACUACUGUGCUUGAGGAAGAUAGAGGUAAGCGGAACUUACGGUGGAGCGGUGAAAUGCGUUGAUAUCGUAAGGAACACCUGUGGCGAAAGCGGCUUACUGGGUCUUUUCUGACGCUGAUGCACGAAAGCCAGGGGAGCAAACGGG